ACAAUAAAAUCAACCAUGAAUUCUCUUUUACAAUACCUAACCUACAUUUACCAUAAUUUCAAGCACAACCUUGUAUGAGAAACAAAGACAAAAACACUAAAAAUGUCACAAGAGCCCAACCAAUCCAUAAAUAUUUGUCCUAUAGACUAGUCCAAUGCAAUUCAUGUAUACUAAAUUAAAGAAGAGUUUAGCAUAUCAUACAUCUACAUGCUCUGAUUUNNN
rnacentral:lncRNA from 1 species